rnacentral:rRNA from 1 species
AGAGUUUGAUCCUGGCUCAGGAUAAACGCUGGCGGCGUGCGUAACACAUGCAAGUUGAGCGACGGAAGUUUGAACCAGCGAUGGGAAUGACCUUACGGAGCAGCGGACGGGUGAGUAAAAGAUGAGAAGCUGUCCAUCAGCGAGGGACAAGGGACAACAUUUGGAAACGAAUGCUAAUACCCCAUAGGCGGAAACGUUAAAGUAGCAAUACACCGGAGGAGGUACUCGCAACCUAUCAAUUAGUUGGCGGGGUAACGGCCCACCAAGAUGACGACGGGUAGCCGGCCUGAGAGGGUAACCGGCCACACUGGAACUGAGAUACGGUCCAGACUCCUGCGGGAGGCAGCAGUGGGGAAUAUUGGGCAAUGGGAGAAAUCCUGACCCAGCGACGCCGCGUGAACGAUGAAGGCAUUCGUGUCGUAAAGUUCUUUUAUAUGAGAAGAAAGCAAUGACGGUAUCAUAUGAAUAAGCCCCGGCUAACUACGUGCCAGCAGCCGCGGUAAUACGUAGGGGGCGAGCGUUGUCCGGAAUUACUGGGCGUAAAGGGCGCGCAGGCGGUUCAAUAAGUCAGCUGUUAAAUCGUGUGGCUUAACCAUAUGAUGCAGUUGAAACUAUCGGACUGGAGUAUCGAAGAGGCAAGCGGAAUUCCCUGUGUAGCGGUGAAAUGCGUAGAUAUAGGGAAGAACAUCGGUGGCGAAGGCGGCUUGCUGGUCAGAAACUGACGCUGAGGCGCGAAAGCCAGGGUAGCAAACGGGAUUAGAUACCCCGGUAGUCUUGGCGGUAAACGAUGAGUGCUAGGUGUGCGAGUAGAGAUACUGGUGUGCCGCAGCAAACGCGAUAAGCACUCCGCCUGGGGGAGUACGGUCGCAAGAUUGAAACUCAAAGGAAUUGACGGGGGCCCGCACAAGCGGUGGAGCACGUGGUUUAAUUCGAUGCAAACCGAAGUACCUUACCUGGGUUUGACAUACAAGUGGUAAGAGAUUGAAACAGUGAUGACCGUAGCAAUACGGAGCUAACACAGGUGCUGCAUGG